GACGAACGCUGGCGGCGUGCUUAACACAUGCAAGUCGAGCGGAGCGGCGAACGGGUGAGUAACGCGUGAGUAACUGCCCCCCUCUCUGGGAUAACAGUUGGAAACGGCUUCUAAUACCGGCUAGUGGGGGAUGACUCGCGGCCUAUCAGCUGUUUGGGGGGGUAGUGGCCUACCAAGGCAACGACGGGUAGCCGGCCGGGGAGGGCGACCGGCCACAUUGGGCUGAGAGACGGGCCAAACGCCUACGGGAGGCAGCAGUGGGGAAUAUUGCACAAUGGGGGAAACCCUGAUGCAGCAACGCGCGGGCGGGAUGACGUCCUUCGGGUUGUAAACCGCUUUCAGCCAUGACGCGGUAGUGGCAGAAGAAGCACCGGCUAACUACGUGCCAGCAGCCGCGGUAAUUC
rnacentral:rRNA from 1 species